rnacentral:rRNA from 1 species
GAUGAACGCUGGCGGCGUGCCUAAUACAUGCAAGUCGAGCGAACAGACGAGGAGCUUGCUCCUCUGACGUUAGCGGCGGACGGGUGAGUAACACGUGGAUAACCUACCUAUAAGACUGGGAUAACUUCGGGAAACCGGAGCUAAUACCGGAUAAUAUAUUGAACCGCAUGGUUCAAUAGUGAAAGACGGUUUUGCUGUCACUUAUAGAUGGAUCCGCGCCGCAUUAGCUAGUUGGUAAGGUAACGGCUUACCAAGGCAACGAUGCGUACCCGACCUGAGAGGGUGGUCGGCCACCCUGGAACUGAGACACGGUCAAGACUCCUACGGGAGGCAGCAGUAGGGAAUCUUCCGCAAUGGGCGAAAGCCUGACGGAGCAACGCCGCGUGAGUGAUGAAGGUCUUCGGAUCGUAAAACUCUGUUAUUAGGGAAGAACAAAUGUGUAAGUAACUAUGCACGUCUUGACGGUACCUAAUCAGAAAGCCACGGCUAACUACGUG